GAUGAACGCUGGCGGCGUGCCUAAUACAUGCAAGUCGAGCGAACAGAUGAGGAGCUUGUUCCUCUGACGUUAGCGGCGGACGGGUGAGUAACACGUGGAUAACCUACCUAUAAGACUGGGAUAACUUCGGGAAACCGGAGCUAAUACCGGAGAAGAUAUUGAACCGCAUGGUUCAAUAGUGAAAGACGGUGUUUCUGUCUCUUAUAGAUGGAUCCGGGCGGCAUUAGCUAGUUGGUAAGGUAACGGCUUUGCAAGGCGACGAUGCGUAGCCGAAGUGAGAGAGUGAUAGGCGACACGAGAACGUGGACGGGGUCAAGACGCCUAAGAGAGGCAGCAGUAGGGAAUGUGACGCAAAAGGCGGAAGCCUGACAGAGCGACGCCGCGUGAGAGAUAAAAGCGUUCGGAUCGUAAAACUCGGUUACUGGGGGAGAACAAAUGUGUAAGUAGCUGUGCACGUAGUGACGGUACCGAGUCAGGAAGCCCCGGCUAACUACGUG
rnacentral:rRNA from 1 species